AUGGACACAGAGGAGUCUAGGACAUGGCAGACAAGGAGAAGUAGGGCCAGGGGCGUGUCGGGCCGAGGAGCUCCUGGCCGUAGUGGCGCGGCACCGGAGCAGGGACCAGUGACGAGGCAAGGCAACGAGGAGGAGCCUGCGAGGGACCCUGGCGAGGAGGUAGUGGAGGACGGUGCUGGCGAUGCUGGCCUUGGCAAGGAGCUCAGGGGCGGCGCUCGUCCGGGCGGUGGCGGUGGCGGCGGGGCCAACUUCGAGGAGGAGAGCGCGAUGCAGAGGGAGAAAGGAGGCGGGACUCGGCACGCCGGUGGGACGGCAGCGGCUGCAUGGAGCGGGCGGCGGCCAUGGCACUCGGGAAGGCGCGGGGAGGAGAGGGGGAGGAGGUUGCUGAGGGUGGCCAGUGCUCGAGGAGCUCCUCUCCUCGGGCGCUCGACGACAUGGGGUUCUCGCUCCUCUUUCUCCCUCUCUGGGUGA
rnacentral:rRNA from 1 species